rnacentral:lncRNA from 10 species
AUUCUGAAAGGGCAUUAUUUCAGCAUUACUUUGUUAGGGAGGCAGUGGGGGCCCUUGGGAGGAAACCCCAUGGUCCUUCCGCUUGGGGCAACCAGCUCAGGAGGAAGUACCAUGUGCUGGUUCCCAACUCAGCGGGAGAGUCAACAGUGUGUUCUCGUGGGCCAGCCAGGCAUCAGGGAUCCUGCUCCCUGGAAGCCUCUCUGUGAGCUCCCUGCCCCGUGGCUGCAAGCAUAUCCGAGGCUAAGGCGGGCCUUCCAGGAGGCUCACACUCAGCCAGGCUUCUCUGUGGAGGUAAGGGCACCAGAACGCGGAAUAAACUUGUACUAAGAACAUAUACCUUCUAUCACAAGUUGGGUGCACUGGGAAACAGACUCCGACAGAGACUUCGGCUUGCAGGAGGUUUACAGGGGAAGGCUCUCACAGUGGAGGAAGCAGAACCAGGCAGAGGGAACAGUUGAAUUGUGAUGUAGUCACAACAAAGGCCUCAGCUGACCCCAUGGGGAGCUGUGAGCUGGGGGGACUUUCAGAGUCGCUCUGCAUUAAGAUGCGGAAAUUGAGACUCAAAGAGGUUGAGCAGCAAUUCCGUGAGCUGAAACUUAAGCCCAGAUGCAUGUGAUUCCAGAGGCAGGCCCAGGCCCACUCGCCUCCUGUGAGUAUCAGGGAAGUCCAGUGCUGUCUGCUGCUGGCCUGUGAUGGAUGAAUUGGCCCUCUUGGACUUGGUCCAGUGCUUUCAAACUCGACUUUGUCCCUCCAUCCAUAUGUUCAGGCUUUUUUCCCUCCUCCCCACAGCCUGGGCAUGGCAGGUGAAGGAGCCUCCUCCUCUACUUUCUCUGCUUCUCAAAUGUUCUAAGACUUGGGAGAAGCCCAAAGACCUCCAGGCUCUUCACUCAUUCAUUCAACAGAUACCUUCUGAGCAUCUGGUAUGUUCUGGAUUUUGUCGUAGGGGUUGUGAACACAGCAGGCCAGGUUGUUGUCCGCAUGGAGGUUAUCAUGAACAAAUGCAUCAACGAGAAGAUUGUAGGGAAUGGCAUGAGCUUUGAUGUUACUAAAACAAGUUGGUGUCAUUGGAAGUGACUGGGGGAUGCGAGAGGGGCUGUUUUGCUAGCAUGUAGGGAAAUCCACUCCAUAGAGGGGAUGUUCGAACCGAGAUUUAAAUGAAAAGAAGCCACUCAGAGGAAGAUCUAGAAGAAGAAUAUUCCACACCAAGAGAGCGACAAGUGCAAAGUUCUCAAGGUUGGAAUGGACUUUACCAACUCAAGGAAGAGAAACGAGGCUGGAGCUUGGAGAGCAGGGGCAGAGGUGGGUAGGGAUCAGAUCCUGCAGGGGCUUAGAGCCCAUUGUCAGACUUUAGAUUUUACCCUAAGUGCAACUAUAGCUCUUGGAGGCUUGGAUCGGGGAGAAAUGUGAUCUGGUUUACACGGUAAAGGAUCACUCUGCUUUCCAUGUUGAGAACAGGUUAUCGAGAAUUCUGACAGCCACAAAUCCUAACCCACACCAAACUCUCCUCCAGAUGCACCUCACCCUGCUGUACUUCUAGGUCCUUGCGCCUGCAAAACCCUCUGCCAGGUAUGCCUUUCUGCUUACUUUCUAGAACAUUCCUAUUCAUCUUCAGGACCCAGCCCCCAGGCACUUUCCUGAUGGGCCCUCCCCCUCGCCCACAGUAAGGGUUAAGUUCAUGUUCUCAUUGCCAUUACCCAAUUCCAGCCAUAAGCAGACUCAGCCUGUUUCUGGGUCCCUCCCCCGACUGGACCAGGAGCUCCUCAGACAUCAGGAUUGCAGUUGACUUGGCUGUGAGAGCCCAGGACCUGCACACAGCCGGGCCCAGCCUGGGUGCCUGCCAGCUAAACAAAUGCUUUCUGGGUGGACACGAACUCAUUGAGUGCCCAAGUCAUUAACAGAAGCACGAGGUUAGCAAGCACCCUCUGUUUAAACAAAUAAUAAGAUUAGAAGUAUGGUAACAUACUACUUACCACAGCAUUUAAUUUGAAUCCAUACUUACUAGAAAUCGUGGCAUCUGGACACUGAGUUUCCAAGUGUUUACUAAAAGCGGCAAUAGCCUGUGAUCGUCAAAAUUUGAAUAGUUCUUUCUCAAGGACUGUUCCCUUGCUACCUUGAGACUAGGAAUGUCUGUAAAAAAAAAAAAGAACACAUUUGUUAUAAUACUUCUUGUAAAUACUUGUGUUGGAAAGAAUACACUUAUUAAAAUACUUCCUAUAUUCCUGUAAAUCCUGGUGUUUGUUCAUGUGCAGUUGUAAACCUGUGUUUGUCACAGGAUGCUGUGUACACUCUCUGAUAUUUUUCUAAUUCAGCUACUGAUACAGAAGAACUGUGCAGCUUCUUAGUAAGCUAGGAAUAUUUAAAGGCUGUCUUCCUUGUUCAUGAUCUAUGCAAGUAAAAAUUAACGAAUUUUGAAACAAGGUGGGGUCUCAUUCUCUACCAGCUGUAAGCUUGGUGAGGGCAAGGAAGGUAAUGGGAUCCUCAUUCGCUGAGGCUUCCCUAGCAUGGGGUCUGCCCGCAGCGGCAGAUGCUUGUUGAUGGAGGCAUGAGCGAACCUUGGCAUGUACAGGCCAGGAUUCCCUCCACCAAACUCAACUGCACCUCCUCCCACCAUGAGAGUGUAUGGCUGGGCCUGAGGCCUGCCAGUUGAUUUCACUGUGCUGGGAGGAAUCUAGUUCACACUCAGCCUGGGUACUGCGCUGUGAAUGUCCUCACACCAGGCAGCCCUAUGAGCAUGGCACUGGGAUGCCCAGUGAUGAUACAGGGGAAACAGCUGGAUCAUUGAAAUGUGCAGUUUU